rnacentral:rRNA from 1 species
GCUCCUUUGACGUUAGCGGCGGACGGGUGAGUAACACGUGGGUAACCUACCUAUAAGACUGGAAUAACUCCGGGAAACCGGGGCUAAUGCCGGAUAACAUGUUGAACCGCAUGGUUCUACAGUGAAAGACGGUCUUGCUGUCACUUAUAGAUGGACCCGCGCCGUAUUAGCUAGUUGGUGGGGUAACGGCCUACCAAGGCGACGAUACGUAGCCGACCUGAGAGGGUGAUCGGCCACACUGGAACUGAGACACGGUCCAGACUCCUACGGGAGGCAGCAGUAGGGAAUCUUCCGCAAUGGGCGAAAGCCUGACGGAGCAACGCCGCGUGAGUGAUGAAGGUCUUCGGAUCGUAAAGCUCUGUUGUUAGGGAAGAACAAAUGUGUAAGUAACUGUGCACAUCUU